AUUCUGAGGCCUCCCCAGUCAUGUGGAACUAACCAGAACUAAGAUGCCUUUAGAGAUGUGUGCAGAUAAGCUACCAGAAAUGAAAUUUCAGUUCAAGUUUGGCACUAAGGGACUGAUCGGAGUCAAACCAUAUGCUGUGGCUUUUGCUCCAUGGAAAUCUCAACUAUACUGCAAGAAUAAUUAUUCCUACUUAAUGAAGUUACAGAAGAGAAUGUGGUGCUGGACGGUACUGACUGCAUGGGGAGAGGCCAUACCACAGAAACCUCAAUCUGCCUGAGCCGUGACUCUGAGAGCUGGAGUACCACUGGACAAGGAGAGUAUGAGAGGAAAAAGCAGCUGACAAACAUACUAAGAAGAAAACAUCUGAAAUUUUAAUGAAUUUUUAAAGAUUAAAUACUGUUGAUAUCUGCUUUCCAAUAUUGCAGCAGUUUUCAAAACUGGAUAUUCCAAACACUUUGAAGAAUUUUAGCCACUUCCUGGUACGUUUUAUUACAACAUUUAUGUGUAAGUUUUAUUUUUUAAUUAUUUGCUGACAUAGUAUAUUGCCUGUGCAUUAACAGUUCUUGUCCAGCCCUCGGUUUAGAGAGUUAAUAUUUGUGCACAAGCCACAAGGAUGGGCUCUGGGGAUGGACGAUCCAGCCAUACUCUCUCCAUGGAGCCUAGUGCUGCUGAUAUAUGGAGCCUCACUUCUCUCUUGUGGCUAGAACCACUACUGCCAUCUCUACUGCAUCUCACCAUGGCUCCUAAUCUGGACCCAGGUGCCACCUGGUUUUCUUGGGACCCCAGAAUACCCCCUGAACUGGCUGAAGCCUAUACCUGUGUGAUGGGGCACCAGGCCAAUUGCUUAAAGCCUAAGGCUCAAAAUCCUGAGCCUGCACUUGCAUGGACAUCCUGAGGCCAAUCUCCACCACUUACUGGCUUGCUCUAUAUCUCAUAGACUUUACUUGUAAUUCAAAA
rnacentral:lncRNA from 1 species